UGGGGAAUUUUGGACAAUGGGGGCAACCCUGAUCCAGCCAUGCCGCGUGAGUGAAGAAGGCCUUCGGGUUGUAAAGCUCUUUCAGCCGGGAAGAAAAUGCAUGGGUUAAUACCCUGUGCGGAUGACGGUACCGGAAUAAGAAGCACCGGCUAACUACGUG
rnacentral:rRNA from 1 species